ACUCGCGGCAUCACUUGUCGUCCCCUCGUCUAAACACGCGCGCACUCCGGCGCGUCGCACGUGUGCGCUGCUGCUGAGAAAACUCACCUUUUUUUUCUGUAAGUUGAGCGCUCAGCUCUUCUUCACCGUCUCGUCUCACCUGUGCUCGCGUGCGCCUGCCUCUUCGCCGUUGUCCCUCCCCUCACGUUGUCGUCCGUCCCACUAUCUUCGCCCAAACUCGCCCAUGUCCCUCUCAGAGGUGCAGCGCCUGCAAGAUUUGGUGUAUCACCAACCCAACAAGGAAAACUACGAAACCCUCGUGUUGGAGCAGAUGCUCAUGGUGGAGCGACAGCUGGACGUCAAAACAAAGGCUGAGGAGCGCGCCAUGGCGGCGAGGCGGGAGGCAGAACAGCUGCGAGGUGAGAUCGAGGAGCUGCGCCGCGAGACUGCCUCGGCGCCCGCCACCUUCUCUGCGGUGGAGCGAGAGGACUACUAUGUGACAUGGACGGCGCUCCUGAAGGAGUUUUGCAUGCGCAAGGAGAUUCUUUCCUUUCUGCUGUCGUACCCUGCCGAAGACUUCAAGCUGGUCGAACUAACCACUGUCUCCCACUGGCUCGACACCUGGACCACGUUCUUCGCGUCCGCCGAGUCGUCGGUGCGGAACUUGAAAAGGCUCGAGCGGGAAUCGGCGAACGGCAACACACUGCCCCCGACUCGACCCCUCUACGACGCAUUGGAUGAGGUGUGCCGCCUGCAGCUGCAGGCUCGCACGCUUGUUGGCCGUGAGCGCUACCGCCGCAGCUCUUCGAGCGAGGAGUUCGUGAGGGACUUCAUGGAUAGCCAGCAGCAGCUGUGGGAGUGGUGCCGCAAGCAGCGCGAUACACUGGCGGCAUUGAAGACGCUGGGGGACCUCAUCGAGUUCAACAACUCCUUCUACGCAAACGUGCCGGUGAUGGACAGCAACUUUCUGGUUCUGAUGGAGCAGAGCGAGGCUCUCAUGAGCAACGUUCGGGUGCAAGACGCUCUUCGGGAGGUGAACCGAGAGUGGGUCAUGCUGACGCUCGAGACCUACGGCAAGCUGCAGGCCGCCUGCACCCGGGAGCACGGGAGUAGCUCGCUGGAGAGGCAGUGUGCGAAGUGGAUCCAAUUUAUGUCUCCGAGGCUUCGUCGUCUUCUUGUGUCCGCACAGGGCACCCUUGCACAGGACAGCGAUGUACCGGAGGCGAAGCUGCUUGUGACGACGUGCGAGCAACUUCUCAAGGAGCAUGAGGCGCACGACAUCGUGUGCACGCACCUGAGCGACUAUACGGUGCGCGAGGAGUGCGUGCGACCCCACUUGGACGCCUUGAAGGCGGAGCUGCAGUCGUCACUCACGACGACAGUGCUGACCUUCCCGCUCGCUGACACCGCGGGUGGGCAGGCGGACUACAAGAGUCGUGUCGAGGAGCUGCAGGAGUGGAUCGACGUGAAGUCGCAGAAGGGCACGUACGUGAAGCUGCUGGAGCGCUUAGAGUUGACCAAAGCCAUGAUCGAGGAGCACGCGGAUGUACUGUUCCCCGAGGAUAGUCCGUAGGGGUUCACCACACUGCAGGCGGGAUGGCGAUGCGAAUGUUCCGGUGGAAGCGAGAGUAGGAACAGGGAGGCCUUGAGAGGUGGAGAGGUAGCGUAUGUGGUGGUGGUGGGGAAGAGAGGCGGGCACUUGUGCGACCUCCAACAGCACGGCCGUUUUUCUAUCUUCCGGUUUCUCGGCUUUUAUGCCUUCUGCGCAUAUGCACUGUACCUUGCCGGGCCCCUCCGCCUCUCAGAGAGCCCCUCAGCGCCUCGCUCUUCAUCCGCCCUCGCCCUGGGCAUCGGGUUAUAGAGUCGUUUCGAGUAGUUGCGCUUUCUAUAUAUAUUAUCCGUUCUCCGCAACUGCUCUGUCAUGUUGUGCGGGCGAGACACGUUAGUGCUUCCAGGCGUUACAGCCAAGAGGUCACCGCGGUGCAUGUCACAGAGCAGCGAAGCAGCCGGCCGACGUCUUUACUCUUCCACCGCUUCGUCGAGCUCGCUCAGUGCCUGUGUAGGCUUGUGCACGUCAGAGACCACCGAAUCGCUCUCCCAACUAAAAUGCAGAGCAAAGGACACAGACAUGGGGGAAACGGAUUGCUAUCGCGACAUGGCCGAACACGUGGGCGCGCGAAGGCUUCAGUGUGCGCUCACACGCUCAUGCAGUGCAUGGCACAAGCGCAUGGUUUCGCACACGAAUCGCGUGCUGCUUUUUUUGGUUCGCGCCUGUACGCGUGCAUGCGGGCGCGCUUUACAUUCCUUCCUCUACAAGCACUGGGAGGGGGACCCCGACACGGUCGCGACGACAGGUGCUGCAUACCGACUGUGCCGCGCUUCUAAGCAUUCUCUGGCGCUACACUCUCUCCCUAGCCUCGCGCCCACUCCUGGACGAUGGCACUUGCGCUUGUACGCUGUUUCUGCGUGCAUCUCUCUCUCUCUGCAUCCUUCACUUCUCCCCUGCAG
rnacentral:misc_RNA from 1 species